rnacentral:rRNA from 1 species
UACGUAGGGUGCGAGCGUUGCCCCGGAUUUAUUGGGCGUAAAGGGCGCGUAGGCGGCUACGCACGUCCGUUGUGAAAUCGCUCGGCUCAACUGGGCGGGUCAGCGGAUACGGCGUAGCUGGAGCAAGCUAGGGGGCAAUGGAAUUCCCGGUGUAGUGGUGGAAUGCGUAGAUAUCGGGAGGAACACCAGUGGCGAAGGCGGUUGCCUGGAGCUUUGCUGACGCUGAUGCGCGAAAGCGUGGG